GACGAACGCUGGCGGCGUGCUUAACACAUGCAAGUCGAACGGAAAGGCUCCAGCUUGCUGGAGUACUCGAGUGGCGAACGGGUGAGUAACACGUGGGUAAUCUGCCCUGCACUCUGGGAUAAGCCUGGGAAACUGGGUCUAAUACUGGAUAUGACCUUUCUCCUUAUGGGGUUUGGUGGAAAGUUUUUCGGUGUAGGAUGGGCCCGCGGCCUAUCAGCUUGUUGGUGGGGUGAUGGCCUACCAAGGCGACGACGGGUAGCCGGCCUGAGAGGGUGAUCGGCCACAUGGGGACUGAGGUACGGCCCAGACUCCUACGGGAGGCAGCAGUGGGGAAUAUUGCACAAUGGGCGGAAGCCUGAUGCAGCGACGCCGCGUGAGGGAUGACGGCCUUCGGGUUGUAAACCUCUUUCAGCAGGGACGAAGCGUAAGUGACGGUACCUGCAGAAGAAGCACCGGCUAACUAUGUG
rnacentral:rRNA from 1 species